AACGCACAUUGCACCCUUUGGUAUUCCGAAGGGUACACCUGUUCGAGCGUCAUUAAAUUCUUCAAGCUUAUGCUUGGUAUUGGUUAAAGUCCAUUUUGGACUCUCCCAUAACUUAUGAAGACAAACUUUUUAACUUUAAGCGUAACAAGAAAACUUCAUCGUUUGUUGUUAAAAAGUUUCUUGUCUUUUAAAAAAGACUCUUUAAACUUGACCUCGGAUCAGGUGAGGAUACCCGCUGAACUUAA
rnacentral:misc_RNA from 1 species